rnacentral:rRNA from 1 species
CAGCAGCCGCGGUAAUACGAAGGGGGCUAGCGUUGCUCGGAAUGACUGGGCGUAAAGGGCGCGUAGGCGGAUUGUUUAGUUAGGCGUGAAAUUCCUGGGCUUAACCUGGGGACUGCGCUUAAUACAGGCAGUCUAGAGUGAGGAAGAGGGUUGUGGAAUUCCCAGUGUAGAGGUGAAAUUCGUAGAUAUUGGGAAGAACACCGGUGGCGAAGGCGGCAACCUGGUCCUUGACUGACGCUGAGGCGCGAAAGCGUGGGGAGCAAUCAGGAUUAGAUACCCCCGUAGUCCCUGUCUCUUAUAC